GACGAACGCUGGCGGCGUGCUUAACACAUGCAAGUCGAACGGAAAGACCCUGAUUUUGUUGGGUGCUCGAGUGGCGAACGGGUGAGUAACACGUGAGUAACCUGCCCUUGACUUUGGGAUAACUUCAGGGAACUGGGGCUAAUACCGGAUAGGAGCUCCUGCUGCAUGGUGGUGGUUGGAAAGUUUCGGCGGUUGGGGAUGGACUCGCGGCUUAUCAGCUUGUUGGUGGGGUAGUUGCUUACCAAGGCUUUGACGGGUAGCCGGCCUGAGAGGGUGACCGGCCACAUUGGGACUGAGAGACGGACCAGACUGCUACGGGAGGCAGCAGUGGAGAAUAUUGCACAAUGGGCGGAAGCCUGAUGCAGCAACGCCGCGUGCGGGAUGACGGGCUUCGGGUGGUAAACCGCUGUCGCCUGUGACGAGGCGUGAGUGACGGUAAUGGGUAAAGAAGCACCGGCUAACUACGUG
rnacentral:rRNA from 1 species